GAUGAAGAACGCAGCGAAAUGCGAUAAGUAAUGCGAAUUGCAGAAUUUCCGUGAGUCAUCGAAUCUUUGAACGCACAUUGCGCCCACUGGUAUUCCGGUGGGCAUGCCUAUUCGAGCGUCAUUAUCCUCUCUCCAACCUCCGGGCUGGGUGUUGGACCGUGUUGUGGCAACGCAACUGGUCUCAAAGACAAUGACGGCGUCCGUGGGACCCUCUUCGCAACGAGUCUUUCGAGGCACGCGGGGAGUUGCAAGGUCCCGGCGGGUCGGUCUAAACCCUUUUAUUUUUCUAAGGUUGACCUCGGAUCAGGUAGGAAUACCCGCUGAACUUAAGCAUAUCAAUAAGCGGAGGA
rnacentral:misc_RNA from 1 species